UCUAAAAAGGCAGAUUAAUGUAUAGGAUUUAAAAUCCUAAUAUGAAGAACUUUAUUUCUUCUUUUAGAA
rnacentral:tRNA from 2 species